rnacentral:rRNA from 1 species
UAACAAGGAUUCCCCUAGUAACUGCGAGUGAAGCGGGAAAAGCUCAAAUUUAAAAUCUGGCGGUUUCACCGUCCGAGUUGUAAUCUGGAGAAGCGUUUUCCGUGUCGGACCGUGCACAAGUCUCUUGGAACAGAGCGUCAUAGAGGGUGAGAAUCCCGUUUUAUGGCACGGACACCCGAUACUUUGUGAUACGUUUUCUAAGAGUCGAGUUGUUUGGGAAUGCAGCUCAAAAUGGGUGGUAAAUUCCAUCUAAAGCUAAAUAUAGGCGAGAGACCGAUAGCGAACAAGUACCGUGAGGGAAAGAUGAAAAGCACUUUGGAAAGAGAGUUAAACAGUACGUGAAAUUGUUGAAAGGGAAACGCUUGAAGUCAGUCGCGUCUUCUAGGACUCAGCCUUACUUCGGUUAGGUGUACUUCCUGGUUUGACGGGUCAACAUCGAUUUUGAUCGACGGAUAAAGGAGAAGGGAAUGUGGCACCUCCGGGUGUGUUAUAGCCCUCUUCGUAUACGUCGAUUGGGAUCGAGGACUGCAGCACGCCCUUGUGGCCGGGGGUUCGCCCUACGUAUCGUGCUUAGGAUGUUGACAUAAUGGCUUUAAGCGAC